rnacentral:sRNA from 1 species
CCUCAAGGCAUCGUGGUUUGUUUGUGUGAACUGCGCUUAAUGGCCCUGUCAGCAAGGAGGUGAUGAUCAGGACAGGAUUCACUUCAGAGAGAAGAGUGGUUGAAGGCCUUUCACUGUUGGACUUGGGAGUAUCUCCGUAUUCUGGAGCAGUAUUUCAUGAAACUCCAUUAAUAAUAUACCUCUUCCAUUUCCUAAUUGACUAUGCCGAAUUGGUGUUUAUGAUAACUGAUGCACUCACUGCUAUUGCCCUGUAUUUUGCAAUCCAGGACUUCAAUAAAGUUGUGUUUAAAAAGCAGAAACUCCUCCUAGAACUGGACCAGUAUGCCCCAGAUGUGGCCGAACUCAUCCGGACCCCUAUGGAAAUGCGUUACAUCCCUUUGAAAGUGGCCCUGUUCUAUCUCUUAAAUCCUUACACGAUUUUGUCUUGUGUUGCCAAGUCUACCUGUGCCAUCAACAACACCCUCAUUGCUUUCUUCAUUUUGACUACGAUAAAAGGCAGUGCUUUCCUCAGUGCUAUUUUUCUUGCCUUAGCGACAUACCAGUCUCUGUACCCACUCACCUUGUUUGUCCCAGGACUCCUCUAUCUCCUCCAG